ACAGAGGUGGCAAGCGUUGUUCGGAAUUAUUGGGCGUAAAGGGCGCGUAGGCGGUGUGGCAAGUCAGGUGUGAAACCUCCAGGCUCAACUUGGAGCUUGCAUCUGAAACUGCCGUGCUAGAGUGUGGGAGAGGAGAGUGGAAUUCCUGGUGUAGCGGUGAAAUGCGUAGAUAUCAGGAGGAACACCAAUUACGAAGGCAGCUCGCUGGGACGUUACUGACGCUGAGACGCGAAAGCGUGGGGAGCAAACAGGA
rnacentral:rRNA from 1 species